ensembl:lncRNA novel transcript
GGGCUGGGGCCAGAAUGAUAUUCUGUAUUUCUAACGAGCUCCCAGGAGAUGCCAAUGUUGCCAUCCUUGGACCACGCUGAGUAGCGAGAAUGCAGAGGACAGCAUGUCUACCUUUUCCUGAGCCUCCUUUCAAAGGAUGAGAUACGGGAAUACUGGUAUCACACAGCCCCGAGAAUCCUGAGGUGGGAGCAGGGGAGGCUGAACCCUCUAGAUGUACCCUGAGUAUGUUUUUACAGUGGGUUCAAGUAUUUUAAUCUGCUGUUCAAAAAAUACAUGAAUUCGUCCUCAGUUCAAAGCCAUAGGCUAGCUACUGUAUGAUGUGACACAAUUCUGUAUAACAUAAAUACAGUAAUCUCAUUAAAUUUAACAUCUGUGCCCUAAUCAUCACCUCUUUAAGGACUAAAAUAUUCUCCAGUGUUGUUGCUUUCUCCCCACUGUUUGAGGGAAAAAAAGUAAACCUAUAGAAAAGUUGAAAGAAUUACAUGACAACUUUAAACCCUUCCCCAGAUUUACCAAUUAUUAACAUGCUGCUGUGCUUUCUGUCUCUCUCCUUACCCAUCUAUGUGUGUAUAUAUAUGUGUGUAUGAUAAAUAUUUAUUUAGUUUAUUUUCAUGUUUUUAUCUGAAUAAUUUAAAAAUAAAUUGCAGCUCUCCAUUGCUUUUUAUCAUGUUAUCAUUUGUUUCUGUUAACAAGUUCGGCUGCAAACUGAAUUGCUGACUGAGAGUCAUGUGUGUGUGCAGGAAACCAAGGUGGCUUGGAGUUUCCCAGACUUUUUAGGUUCACGUUUACAGAGGAGAAAGCAAAUGGUGGAAACUCUUGUUUCUCUUUAAAAAUCUUUGACAGUUCAUCCUUAUGUUCUACCCAGUUACCUCACUCCACACUGCCUUUAUGAUCCCACUAGUGACCACCAAAGAGAGGGAAUCUAAGAGAGAAAGCAGAGAAUAACUUAUUCUGCUAAACCCAACACAAAUGAAAGGUAAAUAUCUAGAAGAUAACCUGCUGGAUCAUGAGGGGGAAUGAAGAAAGAAAAGGAAACCAAGGUAUUGACAGGAAAACCAGCUUCUACUUUCUCCUACGUCUUUGAUGUCACUGUGGAGCAACCAUGAGACUUUCCCUGUUGUCAUUUGUCAAUUCGUCCUUCCCCAAGCCAAGGCAGUUUACUAACGUCUAGACUCAUUAAAGUGGAUGAGAUUUUGUUUCCAAAUCCUGGACAGUGCUAAUGUAAAUGCUUGUUUAUCCAUGGUGGUGCAGAAUGAAGGAAGUCCAUGCUCUGCACAAGUAAAGCGAUGUGUCAUGUCAUAUUGCCAAAAGGUUGCAUCAUUUCUAAACUUUCCGGAAGACUGGAUGGGCAAGAGGUCAUCUAUGUUUAUUUUGUGAAGUUUGCCCUACCAGGAAAUGUGUGGGUACAAGAGAUAUUUUGGGCCCAUGAGACUCUCACUUUAGAUGCUUAAUCCAGCAGCAUGUGCUAUAAGCUUCAGUCUCUAACUACAUCUUUAAAAAGAGUGGCAAGUUGUGAAGUAUGCAAGGUUUUUUGGCUGCACUGACAGAGCCACGUAUAAAAUCCUGUUGCCAAGCAGAGACUAGAACCAGAUGACAAAGACUGAAAACACACGCCAUGUAUUGACUUUCCUAUAAAAUACUCAUUACAACCUAAUCCAGUCAUACUCAUUUCUAGAAGAAUUACAUAAUCAGUCAGCAAUCCAUAUUAAUUAA